UACGUAGGGGGCUAGCGUUGUCCGGAAUCAUUGGGCGUAAAGCGCGUGUAGGCGGUUCGGUAAGUCCGCUGUGAAAGUCGGGGGCUCAACCCUCGGAUGCCGGUGGAUACUGUCGGACUAGAGUACGGAAGAGGCGAGUGGAAUUCCUGGUGUAGCGGUGAAAUGCGCAGAUAUCAGGAGGAACGCCGAUUGCGAAGGCAGACUCGCUGGGACGUUACUGACGCUGAGACGCGAAAGCGUGGGGAGCAAACAGG
rnacentral:rRNA from 1 species